rnacentral:lncRNA from 1 species
CAAGGCCUUCGCCACAGUGUCAAGUGGGCUGAAGAGAAGGAAUGUUGCUGUCUAUAAAAUAUGGAGGGCUAAGUUAAGUAUUACAGUAAAGACAGAAAUAAUGCACCAUCCUAUGAGAGAAGAAGAAACUAACUCUAACUGAGAUAAAGGAUUGUUGGAAUUUCCACUGGACUGAUCAGUUGGACCAAAAGGCAUGACUGAAUGAGGGUAUGAGAUUUUGUUGCAGCCUAAAUACAUCAUCAAACAGCUUAGAUGCUCCUGGAACUUCCAAAUUGGUCACAAUUAGAACAAACGGAGAUUACAAAAAGAAGGAAGCCUUAGAAACAACAACCACUGUUCCACAGAGCCUCGCAGUCACAAAGCCAUCUCGCCCAUUCCCUGAACACUCUGAUAACAGCCUUUGCCACGUGUGUGGCUGGCUCAGCUGUGUACACUCAACCUCACCAGGCAGGAGGGACAGCGGUCCUGUGAAGAACGUGAGCGAAAGUAUUUCAAGCACCCAUUGCCUGUGCCUGUCCAUUAGAGAGGGUUCUUUGACAGCCCGAGGGUCUGGUACAGGACCAGGGCUGGGAAUUCAGCAUGAAGUAUAAGGCCAAUGCCGUCCUCACACUUUCUUGCCCAUACAGGCCACGGGGAGAGGUGCAGAUCUCUCCCACUGCUGGUCAUGAAACAAUAAAAAACAAUCUCCGCC